AACCAUCCCGGUUGUACCCCCCCAUAAUGCACGUGGUUUGGUCCAUUCUCCAUGAGGAGAAAAGAAAUACCGCUGAUCUGACCGUUCACGAGAGAUAACCACUAAGAAAGGAAACAGAGACAGAUAAAGCAAAAUUCUGGAGGAAAAAAAAUGACUCACUACGGUUUUUCCCAGAAAAAAAACGAGGAGAACGAUUUGAGUGAUGCGACUACUACUACUGAUGUAGACAAAGAUCCCAAUGUGUGUCCCCUACAUGAAGCUGAAACAGCGGACCUUGGAGUGCCUAGAGAGCCCAGGUUGGCAGAAUUCCAGCAGAAAGCUGUCAGACUGAUGCAGAGGAGAGCAGGGAGGGGGAAGAGGAUUUAAAGAGUAGCAGCAGUACCAGUGAAGGACUGACAGAAGAGAUUGAAGAAGCAUGUAAUAAGGGAAAUGAAGAGUAUGGACAGAUUCUAAGUGAGGAAGAUGAGGUUUUAGAUGAUCCAGCACUGUGGCCAGAGAAAGUACAAGACCACGAAAGAGAAGCUAUUGUUCACAGACUAGCCAACAGGUGUGUGAGGAGACAGAACUGUAUAAAAUCAUGCCCCUAGACUCAAAAGGCGAACCAUUCCCCAAUUAUUUACGUAUUGUAAGUUAGAAAACUGAAGAGAGAUUGCAGAGAGACUGUUUUAUUUAUAGUAAGAGUGUAAAGGCAUUAUAUUGCAUUCUGUGUGUUUUUUUUCCUCAAGGGCAAAGUAAACCAUCACCCAGUUCUCUGGGAUGGCUAUAAGAUAAGGAUGGCUAUAAAAUAAGGAUGGCUAUAAGAUAACAUCAGUGAAAUGGCAGAGAAUGUAUGACAAACUACCAGAGAAUGAGGAUGGUGUCUUACAAGAACUGUUACUGGAAAUGGAAAAAUCUGCAGCAAACCGUAACAACAGCUGCAGGUAUAGACAGUCAGCUGCAGGUAUAGACAGUCAGCUGCAGGUAUAGACAGUCAGCUGCAGAAACAAACUCAGUCAGAAAUGUAUAAAAACAGAGACUUCUAGAAAGGAUUGUGGAUGUGACACUGUACUUAGCAUCUAGGAAUCUGCCAUUCUGGGGGAAAUCACUCAGUCUUGAUGAUGUACAUAAUGGACAUUACCUAGGCUUACUGGAACUGUUGUCAAAUUAUGACCCGCUAUUACGUGAGCACUUACAGAAAGUCAGGGACAAAAAGAAAGGAGCACGACUGACUCAUUACCUCAGCCCUGAGAGCCAAAACGACUUCAUAGGAAUAUGUGGUUUUGAAAACAUUUUGUUACGUUACAGCCUUCUUCUAAAAAUGCUGAAAUUGUUUUUUUUACCCUCAAUCAAUCUACACACAAUACCCCAUAAUGACAAAGCAAAAAUCAGGUUAUUAGAAAUUGGAUGGGGGAUGUCACUGCACAGCUAUUUUCAGGUGUACAGCUAACCCCAGGAAUAUAGGGUUUUGAAAACAAUACUUCAUGAAAGAGAAGACGCAAUCAAUUACUCAGUUAUAUGUGAUGCAACUCCAGACAUUUCCCAUACUGAGCUAAAUGUAUUAUUGGUGAGAUAUGUACAGGAAGAGAGAGUUCAGGGAACAGGUGAAUUGCAAAUAAUUGACGUUUUCUUGAAUUGAAAGACUUUGCUAGAAAGUCUUAUGCAAAAGGAAGAAGAGCGUUAGCCAUGUUUAUAAGAAUUAGUAAUAAAUGAUUUAAUCUGAAA